GAAAUUGAAAGGCGGCUUCGGCUGUCACUUAUGGAUGGACCCGCGUCGCAUUAGCUAGUUGGUGAGGUAACGGCUCACCAAGGCAACGAUGCGUAGCCGACCUGAGAGGGUGAUCGGCCACACUGGGACUGAGACACGGCCCAGACUCCUACGGGAGGCAGCAGUAGGGAAUCUUCCGCAAUGGACGAAAGUCUGACGGAGCAACGCCGCGUGAGUGAUGAAGGCUUUCGGGUCGUAAAACUCUGUUGUUAGGGAAGAACAAGUGCUAGUUGAAUAAGCUGGCACCUUGACGGUACCUAACCAGAAAGCCACGGCUAACUACGUGCCAGCAGCCGCGGUAAUACGUAGGUGGCAAGCGUUAUCCGGAAUUAUUGGGCGUAAAGCGCGCGCAGGUGGUUUCUUAAGUCUGAUGUGAAAGCCCACGGCUCAACCGUGGAGGGUCAUUGGAAACUGGGAGACUUGAGUGCAGAAGAGGAAAGUGGAAUUCCAUGUGUAGCGGUGAAAUGCGUAGAGAUAUGGAGGAACACCAGUGGCG
rnacentral:rRNA from 1 species